rnacentral:rRNA from 1 species
GGGAAUCUGCCCUUCGGUUGGGAAUAACUGAGAGAAAUUUCAGCUAAUACCUUAUAAUGUCUUCGGACCAAAGAUUUAUCGCCGAGGGAUGAGCCCGCGUAGGAUUAGCUAGUUGGUGGGGUAAUGGCCUACCAAGGCGACGAUCCAUAGCUGGUCUGAGAGGAUGAUCAGCCACACUGGGACUGAGACACGGCCCAGACUCCUACGGGAGGCAGCAGUGGGGAAUAUUGGACAAUGGGCGAAAGCCUGAUCCAGCAAUGCCGCGUGAGUGAUGAAGGCCUUAGGGUUGUAAAGCUCUUUUACCAGGGAUGAUAAUGACAGUACCUGGAGAAUAAGCUCCGGCUAACUCCGUGCCAGCAGCCGCGGUAAUACGGAGGGAGCUAGCGUUGUUCGGAAUUACUGGGCGUAAAGCGCGCGUAGGCGGUUUCUCAAGUCAGAGGUGAAAGCCCGGGGCUCAACCCCGGAACUGCCUUUGAAACUAGGAGACUAGAAUCUUGGAGAGGUCAGUGGAAUUCCGAGU